AUUGAACGCUGGCGGCAUGCCUUACACAUGCAAGUCGAACGGCAGCACGGGAGCAAUCCUGGUGGCGAGUGGCGAACGGGUGAGUAAUAUAUCGGAACGUGCCCAGUCGUGGGGAUAACGUAGCGAAAGCUACGCUAAUACCGCAUACGAUCUAUGGAUGAAAGCGGGGGAUCGCAAGACCUCGCGCGAUUGGAGCGGCCGAUAUCAGAUUAGGUAGUUGGUGAGGUAAAGGCUCACCAAGCCGACGAUCUGUAGCUGGUCUGAGAGGACGACCAGCCACACUGGGACUGAGACACGGCCCAGACUCCUACGGGAGGCAGCAGUGGGGAAUUUUGGACAAUGGGCGCAAG
rnacentral:rRNA from 1 species